rnacentral:misc_RNA from 1 species
CAAUCAUAGAUAGCAUAUUACAGAAGGUUCAAUCCCUUGCAUAAAGAUUACAAUCAGCUCUUCUCUCUAACUGUUUAACAGCUCAACAACUGCUCUAACAGCUUAACAACUACACUAAUCAAUAUAUUUAUCCCCCCAAAAAAAAAAAAAAAUCCACCACCAAUCAACAUUAGACCGAAACAAGCUCUCAAUGGAAUCUCUGCUAAUUGAACUGAACUCUGCAAUCAGCUCCAGCUCAUUAUUCUGCAACCAUCCUAGCUUACUCAAACUAGGACAUAAACUCAGCUCACUCAUCAUGGUUGAAUGCUUUUAAAGUACAUAGCAGACCCAGACUUC